CCGCGACCCCAGGUCAGGCGG
rnacentral:rRNA from 4 species